GCUGGUGUGGCGCAAUUGGCAGCGCAACCGCCUUGUAAGCGGUAGGUUGCGGGUUCGAGUCCCGCCACCAGCUCCA
rnacentral:tRNA from 1 species